rnacentral:rRNA from 1 species
AGCUCCAAUAGCGUAUAUUAAAGUUGUUGCGGUUAAAAAGCUCGUAGUUGGAUUUCUGCUGAAGCAAACCGGUCCGCCCUCUGGGUGAGCAUCUGGUUUUGUUUUGGCAUAUGCUUAGACUUUGCAGCUGCACUUGACUGUGUGGUGUGAAGGCUGAGCCAUUUACUUUGAGGAAAUCAGAGUGUUUCAAGCAGGCCAUUGCCUUGAAUACACUAGCAUGGAAUAAUAUGAUAUGACUGUGGUUUUAUUUUGUUGGCUUUUAGAAUUAGAGUAAUGGUUAAUAGGGAUAGUUGGGGGCAUUCAUAUUUAACUGUCAGAGGUGAAAUUCUUGGAUUUGUUAAGGAUGAACGACUGCGAAAGCAUUUGCCAAGGAUGCUU